rnacentral:rRNA from 1 species
GACGAACGCUGGCGGCGUGCUUAACACAUGCAAGUCGAACGGAGUGGCGAACGGGUGAGUAACACGUGGGUGAUCUGCCUUGCACUUCGGGAUAAGCUUGGGAAACUGGGUCUAAUACCGGAUAGUGCAAGAUGAGCUCGCGGCCUAUCAGCUAGUUGGGUGGGUAAUGGCCUACCAAGGCGUCGACGGGUAGCCGGCCUGAGAGGGUGUAUGGGCACAUGAGGACUGAGAUACGGCCCAGAGGCCAACGGGGGGCAGCAGUGGAGAAUAUGGCACAAUGGGCGGAAGCCUGAUGCAGAGGCGCCGGGUGGGGAAAGAAGGCCAUCGGGGGGGAAACUCCAUUCGACAGGGACGCGGUACCUGUAUAAGAAGCACCGGCUAACUACGUGCCAGCAGCCGCGGUAAUAC